rfam:Echinostoma caproni strain Egypt genome assembly, scaffold: ECPE_scaffold0006788
GGCUUCGUAGCUCAGCUGGUAGAGCAUGCGCGUUCCAAGCGUAGGUGACGUCCAUGCGUGGGUUCGAAUCCCACCGAGGCUG